UGGCGAACGGGUGAGUAACAUAUCGGAACGUACCGAGUAAUGGGGGAUAACUAAUCGAAAGAUUAGCUAAUACCGCAUAUUCUCUGAGGAGGAAAGCAGGGGACCUUCGGGCCUUGCGUUAUUCGAGCGGCCGAUAUCUGAUUAGCUAGUUGGUUGGGUAAAGGCCUACCAAGGCGACGAUCAGUAGCGGGUCUGAGAGGAUGAUCCGCCACACUGGGACUGAGACACGGCCCAG
rnacentral:rRNA from 1 species